GAUGAACGCUGGCGGCGUGCCUAAUACAUGCAAGUCGAACGCACAGCGAAAGGUGCUUGCCCCUUUCAAGUGAGUGGCGAACGGGUGAGUAACACGUGGACAACCUGCCUCAAGGCUGGGGAUAACAUUUGGAAACAGAUGCUAAUACCGAAUAAAACUUAGUGUCGCAUGACACAAAGUUAAAAGGCGCUUCGGCGUCACCUAGAGAUGGAUCCGCGGUGCAUUAGUUAGUUGGUGGGGUAAAGGCCUACCAAGACAAUGAUGCAUAGCCGAGUUGAGAGACUGAUCGGCCACAUUGGGACUGAGACACGGCCCAAACUCCUACGGGAGGCUGCAGUAGGGAAUCUUCCACAAUGGGCGAAAGCCUGAUGGAGCAACGCCGCGUGUGUGAUGAAGGCUUUCGGGUCGUAAAGCACUGUUGUAUGGGAAGAACAGCUAGAAUAGGAAAUGAUUUUAGUUUGACGGUACCAGACCAGAAAGGGACGGCUAAAUACGUG
rnacentral:rRNA from 1 species